rnacentral:rRNA from 1 species
UACAGAGGUCCCCAAGCGUUGUUCGGAUUCACUGGGCGUAAAGGGCGCGUAGGCGGCUUGGCAAGUGGAAGGUGAAAUCCCUCGGCUUAACCGAGGAACUGCCUUCCAGACUGCUUUGCUUGAGGCCGGGAGAGGCGAGUGGAAUUCCCAGUGUAGCGGUGAAAUGCGUAGAUAUUGGGAGGAACACCAGUGGCGAAGGCGGCUCGCUGGACCGGUUCUGACGCUGAGGCGCGAAAGCGUGGGGAGCAAACGGG